rnacentral:rRNA from 1 species
UACGUAGGGGGCAAGCGUUGUCCGGAUUUAUUGGGCGUAAAGAGCGUGUAGGCGGCUAGGUAGGUCCGUUGUGAAAACUCGAGGCUCAACCUCGAGACGCCGAGUGGAAACCAUCUGACUAGAGUCCGGAAGAGGAGAGUGGAAUUCCUGGUGUAGCGGUGAAAUGCGCAGAUAUCAGGAAGAACACCCGUGGCGAAGGCGGCUCUCUGGGGACGGUACUGACGCUGAGACGCGAAAGCGUGGGGAGCGAACAGG